AUACGGAGGAUGCGAGCGUUAUCCGGAUUUAUUGGGUUUAAAGGGUGCGUAGGCUGUUUGGUAAGUCAGGGGUGAAAUGCCGUCGCUCAACGACGGAGCUGCCCUUGAUACUGCCGAGCUGGAGUACGGAUGCCGUUGGGGGAAUGAGUGGUGUAGCGGUGAAAUGCAUAGAUAUCACUCAGAACACCGAUUGCGAAGGCAUAUAACGAAUCCGUCACUGACGCUGAGGCACGAAAGCGUGGGGAUAGAACGGGAUUAGAUACCCGGGUAUUCCACGCCGUAAACGAUGAUGGCUAACCGCCUGCGAUACAAUGUAGGUGGCCAAGCGAAAGCGAUAAGUCAUCCACCUGGGGAGUACGACCGCAAGGUUGAAACUCAAAUGAAUUGACGGGG
rnacentral:rRNA from 1 species